UGGGGAAUAUUGCACAAUGGGGGAAACCCUGAUGCAGCGACGCCGCGUGAGCGAAGAAGGUUUUCGAAUCGUAAAGCUCUGUCCUAUGAGAAGAUAAUGACGGUAUCAUAGGAGGAAGUCCCGGCUAAAUACGUGCCAGCAGCCGCGGUAAUACGUAUGGGGCGAGCGUUGUCCGGAAUUAUUGGGCGUAAAGGGUACGUAGGCGGUCUAUUAAGUCAGGUGUGAAAGCGUGAGGCUUAACCUCAUUAAGCACUUGAAACUGAUAGACUUGAGUGAAGGAGAGGAAAGUGGAAUUCCUAGUGUGGCGGUGAAAUGCGUAGAUAUUAGGAGGAAUACCGGUGGCGAAGGCGACUUUCUGGACUUUUACUGACGCUAAAGUACGAAAGCGUGGGGAGCAAACAGG
rnacentral:rRNA from 1 species